rnacentral:rRNA from 1 species
UGGGGAAUUUUGGACAAUGGGCGAAAGCCUGAUCCAGCAAUGCCGCGUGUGUGAAGGAGGCCUUCGGGUUGUAAAGCACUUUUGUCCGGAAAGAAAUCCUUGGCUCUAAUACAGUCGGGGGAUGACGGUACCGGAAGAAUAAGCACCGGCUAACUACGUGCCAGCAGCCGCGGUAAUACGUAGGGUGCAAGCGUUAAUCGGAAUUACUGGGCGUAAAGCGUGCGCAGGCGGUUUGCUAAGACCGAUGUGAAAUCCCCGGGCUCAACCUGGGAACUGCAUUGGUGACUGGCAGGCUAGAGUAUGGCAGAGGGGGGUAGAAUUCCACGUGUAGCAGUGAAAUGCGUAGAGAUGUGGAGGAAUACCGAUGGCGAAGGCAGCCCCCUGGGCCAAAUACUGACGCUCAUGCACGAAAGCGUGGGGAGCAAACAGGAUUAGAUACCCUGGUAGUCCACGCCCUAAACGAUGUCAACUAGUUGUUGGGGAUUCAUUUCCUUAGUAACGUAGCUAACGCGUGAAGUUGGCCGCCUGGGGAGUACGGUCGCAAGAUUAAAACUCAAAGGAAUUGACGGGGUCAUAGCUGUUUCCU